rnacentral:rRNA from 1 species
UACAGAGGGGGCAAGCGUUAUUCGGAAUUAUUGGGCGUAAAGGGCGCGUAGGCGGCUUUGCAAGUGACGGGUGAAAUCCCUCGGCUUAACCGAGGAACUGCCUGUCAAACUGCAUGGCUUGAGACCAGGAGAGGUGAGUGGAAUUCCCAGUGUAGCGGUGAAAUGCGUAGAUAUUGGGAGGAACACCAGUGGCGAAGGCGGCUCACUGGACCGGUUCUGACGCUGAGGCGCGAAAGCGUGGGGAGCAAACGGG